CAGUAGCCGCGGUAAUACAGAGGGUGCGAGCGUUAAUCGGAUUUACUGGGCGUAAAGCGUGCGUAGGCGGCUAAUUGAGUCGGAUGUGAAAUCCCCGAGCUUAACUUGGGAAUUGCAUUCGAUACUGGUUAGCUAGAGUGUGGGAGAGGAUGGUAGAAUUCCAGGUGUAGCGGUGAAAUGCGUAGAGAUCUGGAGGAAUACCGAUGGCGAAGGCAGCCAUCUGGCCUAACACUGACGCUGAGGUACGAAAGCAUGGGGAGCAAACAGUAUUAGAUACCCGCGUAGUCCCUGUCUCUUAUAC
rnacentral:rRNA from 1 species